UACAGAGGUGGCAAGCGUUGUUCGGAAUUACUGGGCGUAAAGGGCGCGUAGGCGGCCUUCUAAGUCAGACGUGAAAUCCCCCGGCUUAACCUGGGAACUGCGUCUGAUACUGGAGGGCUUGAGUGCGGGAGAGGGAUGUGGAAUUCCAGGUGUAGCGGUGGAAUGCGUAGAUAUCUGGAGGAGCACCGGUGGCGAAGGCGGCAUCCUGGACCGGUAUUGACGCUGAGGCGCGAAAGCCAGGGGAGCAAACGGG
rnacentral:rRNA from 1 species